rnacentral:rRNA from 1 species
UACGUAGGGUGCGAGCGUUGUCCGGAAUUAUUGGGCGUAAAGCGCACGCAGGCGGUCUUUUAAGUUUGACGUGAAAGCUCCCGGCUUAACUGGGAGAGGUCGUUGAAUACUGGAAGACUUGAGGCAAUGAGAGGGGUGUAGAAUUCCCGGUGUAGUGGUGGAAUGCGUAGAUAUCGGGGGGAAUACCAGUGGCGAAAGCGGCACCCUAGCGUUAGCCUGACGCUCAUGUGCGAAAGCGUGGGGAGCGAACGGG